rnacentral:sRNA from 1 species
GGACCGAGAAGUUACCCAAUAUGGUCGACUUCGAAUCGAAGAGAAAUAGGUCCCGGGAAGCGCGAGGCUCUUACCCCGUCGGUUUGUAAUUGCCUUCGGAUACUGUUCAGAAGACAUCACAUUGAGAUUUCCCCGCUGUAAUAUAUAGCCCUGCUCAGUCAACCCUUAUAGCUGCUGGCACCGGCAGAGGAAAUGUUGGACUUACCAGUGAGACCGUCGUCAUACACUUGUACAGGAUGGCCUUAAGCGGGGUACGGACGCACAUCGCAGCAAC